rnacentral:hammerhead_ribozyme from 1 species
AUCCAGCUGUUGAGUCCCAAAAAGGACAAAACUUGAGUUCUGGAU